AUAUUUACCUGGCAGGGGAGAUACCAUGAUUAUGAAGGUGGUUUUCCCUGGGCGAGGCUUAUCCAUGGCACCCCAGGUGAGCUGACCCCUGCGACUUGCCCAAAUGGGGGAGACUCGACUGCAUAAUUUGUGGUGGGGGGACUGCAUUCCUGCUCACGCCUG